GAUGAACGCUGGCGGCGUGCCUAAUACAUGCAAGUCGAGCGAACGGACGAGAAGCUUGCUUCUCUGAUGUUAGCGGCGGACGGGUGAGUAACACGUGUAUCACCUACCUAUAAGACUGGGAUCACUUCGGGAAACCGGCGCUAAUACCGGAUAAUCUUUUGAACCGCAUUGUUCAAAAGUGAAAUACGGUCUUGCUGUCACUUCUAGAUGGAUCCGCGCUGCAUUAGCUAGUUGGUAAGGUAACGGCUUACCAAGGCAACGAUGCAUAGCCGACCUGAGAGAGUGAUCGGCCACACGGGAACUGAGACACGGUCCAGACGCCUAAGGGAGGCAGCAGUAGGGAACGUUCCGCAAUGGGCGAAAGCCUGACGGAGCAACGCCGCGUGAGUGAUGAAGGUCUUCGGAGCGUAAAACUCUGUUAUUAGGGAAGAACAUAUGUGUAAGUAACUGUGCACAGAUUGACGGUACCUAAUCAGAAAGCCACGGCUAACUACGUG
rnacentral:rRNA from 1 species